ACUUUAAUUUUAUAAAUUAAUAAACCACUUAUCUGUCUUCUAAAAAACUUAAUAAUAAAAUCUCUAAAUUCUUAGUAAAACAGAAUAGAAAAGAAAAAUUAAACAUUUAAAGUAACGCGAGUGAAAUUAAAUAAAAAUAAAAAAGUAGGUUUUAACUUCCAUACCUUUAGCAUCAUGGUUAAAUAAAAACUCAAAAAAAUAACUUUUCCCGAAAUAAAAAUGAUCUAUUUUUAUACCUAAAAGUUUAUGUAGCAACAUAAUUUUAAGAUGUAAAAAUAGAGGUGAUAUUCCAACCGCAUUUUAAGAUAGCUGGUUCUUCAAAAAAUAUAUAUAAGUAUUACAAUAAUUUUUUUCUAAAAUAGAAAUGUAAAAACAAAAAAAUUAUUAGUCAUAAACUCAAGGAUAAGCUUGACUUUAUUAUUAUGAAAACAAAUUAUUUUACUUAUAAAGUAGGUUUUAAAUCAACCACUUAAAGAAAUCGUUAUAGAUCAACCAAAUAAAUUAUAAAAUAAUUAAUAGUUCUUUCUUAUAAACUAUUUGAAGCAUAUUGAAUUUAUAAACUAAUCAAUUAAAGAGAAUUUUUAAACGAGUAAUUUAUUAAAGAAUUUAUCAUUUUAAACAUUAAACAGAUGAAAAAAACAAAAUAAAAAGAUUAAAUAAAAAAAAGGAACUCGGCAAACACUUAUUCCACCUGUUUACCAAAAACAUGGCUCCCUGUAAAAAAUAAGGAGUCAAGCCUGCUCAAUGAUUAUUAUAAUUAAAUAGCCGCGGUACCCUGACCGUGCAAAGGUAGCAUAAUCACUUGCCUCUUAAUUGGUGGCUAGUAUGAAUGGUUUAAUGAGAAUAACACUGUCUCUUUUUUAAUCUAUUGAAACUACCUACUAGGUGAAAAGGCCUAGAUAAUCUUACAAGACAAUAAGACCCUAUCGAGCUUUAGGUUAAAAUCUACUACAAAAAAAUAAAAAAGAAAUUAUACCUUUAGUUGGGGCGACUAAGGAACAAACAAAGCUUCCUAAAACAAAUAUACUCACAAGUUAUGAUCCGGAAAUAAUCCGAUAAAAAAAGCUACCGUAGGGAUAACAGCGUAAUUUUCUUUGUGAGCUCUUAUUAAAAAGAAAGUUUGCGACCUCGAUGUUGGAUUAAGGUACCUCAAAGACGCAGCAGUCUUUAAAAGUUGGUUUGUUCAACCAUUAAAACCUUACAUGAUCUGAGUUCAAACCGGCGCAAGCCAGGUUGGUUUAUAUCUAUAAAAACCUAAAAAGUAGUACGAAAGGACCCUUUUUAGAAAAAAAUUUUGUAAAAACAAUCAAAGUUAAAUUGGCAGAAUAGUGCAAUUGAUUUAGGUUCAAAAAAAAGAGUA
rnacentral:rRNA from 1 species